rnacentral:rRNA from 1 species
CAGAGAUGAGAAUGUGCCUUCGGGAACCGUGAGACAGGUGCUGCAUGGCUGUCGUCAGCUCGUGUUGUGAAAUGUGGUUAAGUCCCGCAACGAGCGCAACCCUUAUCCUUGUUGCCAGCGGUCCGGCCGGGAAACUCAAAGGGAGACUGCCAGUGAUAAACUGGAGGAAGGUGGGGAUGACGUCAAGUCAUCAUGGCCCUUACGACCAGGGCUACACACGUGCUACAAUGGCGCAUACAAAGAGAAGCGACCUCGCGAGAGCAAGCGGACCUCAUAAAGUGCGUCGUAGUCCGGAUUGGAGUCUGCAACUCGACUCCAUGAAGUCGGAAUCGCUAGUAAUCGUGGAUCAGAAUGCCACGGUGAAUACGUUCCCGGGCCUU